AACGAACGCUGGCGGCGUGCCUAACACAUGCAAGUCGAGCGGGAAAGUCCGCAAGGAUGAGUACAGCGGCGCACGGGUGCGUAACACGUGGGUAAUCUGCCCUGAAGCUCGGGAUAACUCGCCGAAAGGCGUGCUAAUACCGGAUAAGACCACGGGAACCUCGGUUCCUGCGGGAAAAGGUGGCCUCUGUAUACAAGCUAUCACUUCAGGAUGAGUCCGCGCACCAUUAGCUAGUUGGCAGGGUAACGGCCUACCAAGGCUAAGAUGGUUAGCUGGUCUGAGAGGACGACCAGCGACACUGGAACUGAGACACGGUCCAGACUCCUACGGGAGGCAGCAGUGGGGAAUCUUGGACAAUGGGCGAAAGCCUGAUCCAGCAACGCCGCGUGAGUGAUGAAGGCCUUCGGGUCGUAAAGCUCUGUCGGCUGGAACGAAUAAAAGCCACCUAAUACGUGGCUUUAUGACGGUACCAGCAAAGGAAGCACCGGCUAACUCUGUGCCAGCCGCCGCGGUAACAC
rnacentral:rRNA from 1 species